rnacentral:rRNA from 1 species
UACGUAGGGGGCUAGCGUUGUCCGGAAUCAUUGGGCGUAAAGCGCGUGUAGGCGGCCCGGUAAGUCCGCUGUGAAAGUCGGGGGCUCAACCCUCGGAUGCCGGUGGAUACUGUCGGGCUCGAGUACGGAAGAGGCGAGUGGAAUUCCUGGUGUAGCGGUGAAAUGCGCAGAUAUCAGGAGGAACACCGAUUGCGAAGGCAGCUCGCUGGGACGUUACUGACGCUGAGACGCGAAAGCGUGGGGAGCAAACGGG